ACCAGUAGAUCGUUUAGUUAUUUGGGCUGUUUGAUUGUGAGGCAUCGACUCAUAUCUGUUUCUCUCUCUACUAAGAAGAAAGAGAAGGAAGAAGCUAUGAAGAAAGAAGUGAGGAAGUCAGGAAAGAAGAAGCGAGGAAAUAACAAGAACCAGAAGAAGAACAAGGUGUCUCCUCUUGGCAAUGAUAGUACUGUGGCUGCAGAUGAGCCUAAGAAAAAACAGGCUCUCCUCCCGCGGAUCACAG